UACGUAGGGGGCAAGCGUUGUCCGGAAUCAUUGGGCGUAAAGAGCGUGUAGGUCGGCCAGAUAAGUCCGACUGUGAAAUCUCGAGGCUCAACUUCGAGCUGUCGGUGGAAACUGUCUGGCUAGAGUCCGGAAGAGGAGAAUGGAAUUCCUGGUGUAGCGGCGAAAUGCGCAGAUAUCAGGAAGAACACCCGUGGCGAAGGCGGUUCUCUGGGACGGUACUGACGCUGAGACGCGAAAGCGUAGGGGAGCGAACAG
rnacentral:rRNA from 1 species